GCCACCGUGGUUGUUGUUGA
rnacentral:siRNA from 1 species